UCGGGAGAGAGAUUGGGCGGUCUGGAAGUCGACGUCGUUGGAAGACUUCUGGCCGUCCGUCUGCAAUUGGGCGAGUCGGCGGUCGAUUUUCUCGAAUCAUCGCUCGUAGUCGUCCGCUCGUCGAUGCUGAGAGACCCCAGGGGUGGAGUCUCCGGAAGAUUCUGAAAGGGAGGCUGACGGUGUGCGCGGCCGCUUCUCCUUCCUUGCCCGUUCCAACGGGGAGGGAGAGGGCCGCUGGGACCGUCGGUCGUCGCGCCGUGGUCGUUCCUCCUCUCCGUGGGAGCGCUGUUGGGAGCGCUCGCAUGGAGGCGACAGGGGUCGGCGCGGUCGGCGGCGGCUG
rnacentral:lncRNA from 1 species